rnacentral:rRNA from 1 species
CCUACGGGAGGCUGCAGUGAGGAAUAUUGGUCAAUGGACGAGAGUCUGAACCAGCCAAGUAGCGUGAAGUCUUCCUUCCCUAUGGUUUGUCAACUUCUUUUAUAAAGGAAUAAAACGAGGCACGUGUGCCUUUUUGCAUGUACUUUAUGAAUAAGGAUCGGCUAACUCCGUGCCAGCAGCCGCGGUAAUACGGAGGAUCCGAGCGUUAUCCGGAUUUAUUGGGUUUAAAGGGAGCGUAGAUGGGUUGUUAAGUCAGUUGUUAAAGUUUGCGGCUCAACCGUAAAAUUGCAAUUGAUACUGGCAGUCGUGAGUACAGUUGAGGUAGGCGGAAUUCGUGGUGUAGCGGUGAAAUGCUUAGAUAGCACGAAGAACCCCGAUUGCGAAGGCAGCUUACUAAACUGUGACUGACAUUGAUGCUCGAAAGUGUGGGUAUCAAACAGGAUUAGAUACCCUAGUAGUC